GCGUCGUCAAAUUUGGCCUUAUAGAUUCUUCUUAAAUAUAUCCCAUCUUCUCUAGCUCUCCAAUCCCAUAAGCCAGAAUUUUUAAAUGCUCUAAAGCUCUGACUGUGACUAAAUCCAGGUCCUUGUUUUAAGGUACACAUAAAACGCGUCGUACCAAAUAAAUUAUGAAAGAAAUAAUCUGUAAAUUGUCCUCCAUUUGGUAUUAUUGUUGGACCAAGUAC